rnacentral:rRNA from 1 species
AUUGCUAUUGGGAUCCGAUUUAGCCAUGCUAGUCGUACGAGUUCAGACUCGUGGCGAAUAGCUCAGUAACACGUGGCCAAACUACCCUUCGGACCGCAAUACCCUCGGGAAACUGAGGCUAAUAGCGGACACCACACGCAGACUGGAAUGUCGCGUGUGUCAAACGCUCCGGCGCCGAAGGAUGUGGCUGCGGCCGAUUAGGUAGACGGUGGGGUAACGGCCCACCGUGCCAAUAAUCGGUACGGGUCAUGAGAGUGAGAACCCGGAGACGGAAUCUGAGACAAGAUUCCGGGCCCUACGGGGCGCAGCAGGCGCGAAACCUUUACACUGCACGCAAGUGCGAUAGGGGAAUCCCAAGUGCGAGGGCAUACUAGCCCUCGCUUUUGUUGACUGUAAGGAGGUCAACGAAUAAGAGCUGGGCAAGACCGGUGCCAGCUGCCGCGGUAAUACCGGCAGCUCGAGUGAUGUCCAAUAUUAUUGGGCCUAAAGCGUCCGUAGCUGGCCAGCCAAGUUCGUCGGGAAAUCCACCUGCCCAACAGGUGGGCGUCCGGCGAAAACUGUCUGGCUUGGAACCGGAAGGCUCAGAGGGUACGUCCGGGGUAGGAGUGAAAUCCCGUAAUCCCGGACGGACCACCGAUGGCGAAAGCACUCUGAG